UGUUGGGCUUCGGCCAAUUUCUUCGUCAUUUCUGCCGUUCGCAUUAUCCGAACCUUCUCGGUUUCGCUUCGCGAUCCGACGUCUCGCUCGCUUCCCUCAGUGGCCGAUCGGCCUCUCCACCCCUUCUCCUUCGAUGAAUGUGGCGAUCGGUACAUCCGCUGGAAGUACUUGGCGAGCGGCAUGGCAGCAGCCCGUCUACCUCUACCCUGAUCCCAUCCCUGAAUUCGCCAAAAUUGAGACGCGGAAGUUCGAGGACGAGCUCCGGAAAAAGCUUGUGAAGAGCAAAGAGGUCUUCAGAGACGACGUGGACGAAGUCGUGAAGAUUUGCGCGGAGCUUCUCGUGCUGCCUUUGGCUCAGAGCUCUGGCGACUUCUGACCAAGAAAAUCCCCACAUACGAUCGCCCGUUAGUUCGCCCCGGAAGACUAGAAAACGGUAAUUAGCACGGCAGAAGAAUAAAGGCACGAGAAAUAAGAACCUCGAGAGCUGAUCAGCCGGUAUACUUGGCCGAGCAGAAGCAUUUCCUUGGGCUUUAGCAGCUUCACCCUAGUAAUCCGGAUGCCGCUGCCAUCCUGCCUCUCAUCUGGCUGGAUGUGGAGGGUGACCAGAGCCACGUGGUAGCCCGGGUUGCUCUUCAUGACGUUGGCAGCGCUCGUCGGCCAGAGUAGCCUCUCCACCUUCCCACCAGGGUGCUGGAUCACCACGGCCGUCGUAUCCACUGCCUGGCAAUUCCCCAUCCUUCUCUAUAUUGCCUUUCCCUGCAGUUGAGUGGUAAUUUAGCACACAGGAUUGAAUGGAGAAGCGUGGCAGGGAAGAAAGGAAUAGAGAAAGGAGCAUUCAACUGCAGCUGCCUUGUUUGAGUUGUCUUAUUUAAUGAGAUAGAACGAGGGAGAAUGAAAACUUCCGUCUACCUUUAAGAACCUUCCACGUGGCAUGAUGUCACUAGUGGGCCAUUAUAGUAUAAGAGCAGGGGGCGUGAGAUUCUUCAUGCCAUGGGAGUGUGAAUGUCAGUGGGAGUGGCCACGUUAUACCAAGAGAAGGUAAGUAGACUGUUGUCACUGAUAGUGAUAUAACAUUGUUGGUUUCUUCGCUACAGCCAGCUUAUGGAAUGGGAUAUGGAGGGCAAAGGCUGCAACUACCUUUCUGUGAUGGUCGCUUGCCCACACUUGAACAAACCUUAUCUUGAUCUGUGGCGCUAAUUAAAUUGGUGCCGUGAGCCUCAGGAAAAAGGGGACUGCACGGCAGACAGAAUGGCUUGUUGCAUGUAGAUAACCACCACCUGAGAGUUGAAGGUAUGAUGCCUUCAAACCUUCAAAUGCUAGCUUGUAUGAUAGCCCCUCAAGGAUUAUUUUUUCUUCAAAGCACUACUCUUCAGUCCAGUGUCAAUACCCCUUCAUUUAGUUCAUAAACGGACUAAACGCCAUUAAGAGGUCAUUUGAAAUGUUGGAGUUAUCACUGUUCAUUGGAUUUAUCUAACAAUCGAGAUUAAGACACCCUAAGCAUAUAAUACUUGCUUUGUUCAA